GCAGGAGUGGUGGAAUUGGCAGACACGCUACUUUGAGGGGGUAGUGACCGUAAGGUCGUACGGGUUCAAGUCCCGUCUUCUGCACCA
rnacentral:tRNA from 1 species